AGUGAACGCUGGCGGUAGGCCUAACACAUGCAAGUCGAACGGCAGCACAGUAAGAGCUUGCUCUUACGGGUGGCGAGUGGCGGACGGGUGAGGAAUACAUCGGAAUCUACUUUUUCGUGGGGGAUAACGUAGGGAAACUUACGCUAAUACCGCAUACGACCUACGGGUGAAAGCAGGGGAUCUUCGGACCUUGCGCGAUUGAAUGAGCCGAUGUCGGAUUAGCUAGUUGGCGGGGUAAAGGCCCACCAAGGCGACGAUCCGUAGCUGGUCUGAGAGGAUGAUCGGCCACACUGGAACUGAGACACGGUCCAGACUCCUACGGGAGGCAGCAGUGGGGAAUAUUGGACAAUGGGCGCAAGCCUGAUCCAGCCAUACCGCGUGGGUGAAGAAGGCCUUCGGGUUGUAAAGCCCUUUUGUGGGGAAAGAAAAGCAGCAGGUUAAUACCCCGCGGUUCUGACGGUACCCAAAGAAUAAGCACCGGCUAACUUCGUG
rnacentral:rRNA from 1 species